AGAUAAAGAAAUCCUUUUUUUUGUACUUUUUUUAUUGGUGCUUCAACGCAGAUUCUUUGCCUCUUUGCUCUACUCCGCUUCGCGUCGUGACCGCUUCAUUUUAUUUGUUUUUCAAAAUCUCAAACUCGUUUGUUUCUAAUUGUCGUGAAAAGUAUUACUGUUUUUUUUCCUCAAAUCUGGAAUAUAUUGUUUUUUUUUUUUUGUUAACUGGUGACUGCUUGUUGAUGCUGCGCUGCUGUGCCGCAUGAGUAUUACAACAACACCAAAAAAGAAACAGCCGCAGUCAAAGCCAAUUCCCAGUUGGCCUAAACGCGUUCAAUGAGCUGGAAUUGUCCAAGUGGCCGCAAUGAGGUGCCCACGCAUUCCCGCACUCAGCCAGGAGGCGAGGCAUAGGGAUGAGCAGCCAUCGGCAGUGAUUAGCAAGCAAUACCAAAUUCAAAGUGAAAACUAACUAAAGCAAAGAGAGCCAACAAGAAAUUUGAGAGCAAUAUCCCUUAUAUGUAUAAUUAUAUAUAUACAACAACCCUUUAAGUGUGUGUAUAUAAGCAUAUAUGAAUAUCGGAGUAAACAGAACAGCUAUCUUUCGUUUUUCGUUCUACAAAACUAAGUUACAAUGUAUAAUAGCUGGUAAUACUUACGUAUCCGAAUUGUCAAAUCUAUACGAUAUCAUAAUACUACGAACCUAACUACGACACAAGAAAUCAAGCACUAAGCUGUUAUUUAUGCCGGAUAUCAUACUCAUAUCGCCAAAAAUUAAAUCAAAAACAAAAAAGGAAAGAAAUAUAAGCGGAAAAUUUUGGAUAACUGUGAAACCUGAAUGUAAUUAGUUUUUUUUUUUUGGAUAAAUACUCAGAAAUGAUAAUAAAGGAUAAAAGCCCAAAAAGCAAAUCGAGGCCAGCCGCAAUUUAGCUAGAGACAUAUGAUAACUAAUAACAAAUAAUCUAAACACAAAUGCAAAUAU